rnacentral:rRNA from 1 species
AUGGAGCCGACCUUGAAAUACCACCCUUUAAUGUUUGAUGUUCUAACGUUGACCCGUAAUCCGGGUUGCGGACAGUGUCUGGUGGGUAGUUUGACUGGGGCGGUCUCCUCCUAAAGAGUAACGGAGGAGCACGAAGGUUGGCUAAUCCUGGUCGGACAUCAGGAGGUUAGUGCAAUGGCAUAAGCCAGCUUGACUGCGAGCGUGACGGCGCGAGCAGGUGCGAAAGCAGGUCAUAGUGAUCCGGUGGUUCUGAAUGGAAGGGCCAUCGCUCAACGGAUAAAAGGUACUCCGGGGAUAACAGGCUGAUACCGCCCAAGAGUUCAUAUCGACGGCGGUGUUUGGCACCUCGAUGUCGGCUCAUCACAUCCUGGGGCUGAAGUAGGUCCCAAGGGUAUGGCUGUUCGCCAUUUAAAGUGGUACGCGAGCUGGGUUUAGAACGUCGUGAGACAGUUCGGUCCCUAUCUGCCGUGGGCGCUGGAGAACUGAGGGGGGCUGCUCCUAGUACGAGAGGACCGGAGUGGACGCAUCACUGGUGUUCGGGUUGUCAUGCCAAUGGCACUGCCCGGUAGCUAAAUGCGGAAGAGAUAAGUGCUGAAAGCAUCUAAGCACGAAACUUGCCCCGAGA